UACAGAGGAGCCAAGCGUUGUCCGGAUUGACUGGGCGUAAAGCGCACGCAGGCGGCACCGCGCGUGGGGUGUGAAAUCUGGCCGCUUAACGGCCAGGCGCCAUCCCAUACGGCGGAGCUGGAGUGAUGCAGAGGUCGGUGGAAUUGCCGGUGUAGCGGUGAAAUGCGCAGAUAUCGGGAGGAACACCUAUGGCGAAGGCAGCUCGCUGGGACGUUACUGACGCUGAGACGCGAAAGCGUGGGGAGCAAACAGG
rnacentral:rRNA from 1 species